rnacentral:rRNA from 1 species
UUUUUAAUUGGAAUCUUGUAUGAAUGGUUAGACAAAAGAAUAACUCUCUUUAUAUUAAUUUUGAAUUUAACUUUUAAGUGAAAAGGCUUAAAUAAGCUAAGGGGACGAUAAGACCCUAUAAAACUUUACAUUGUAGUUAUAUUUUAUUGAAUUUAUAAAUAAAAAUUUAAUUUAAUUAUUUGUUAUGUUGGGGAGACAUAAGUAAAAUUUAUUUUAACUGCUUAGUAGUUUAUAACAAUUAUUAGUGAUAAUUUUGUAGAAGAUCCUUUUUGAAGAUUAAUAGGUUAAGUUACUUUAGGGAUAACAGCGUAAUUUCUUUUAAGAGUUCUUAUCGAAAAGGAAGGUUGCGACCUCGAUGUUGAAUUAAAAAAUCUAUAUAAUGAAGAGGUUAUAUAAGAAGGUCUGUUCGACCUUUAAAAUUUUAC